rnacentral:rRNA from 1 species
AUUGAACGCUGGCGGCAGGCCUAAUACAUGCAAGUCGAGCGGAUGAAGGGAGCUUGCUCCUGGAUUCAGCGGCGGACGGGUGAGUAAUGCCUAGGAAUCUGCCUGGUAGUGGGGGAUAACGUCCGGAAACGGGCGCUAAUACCGCAUACGUCCUGAGGGAGAAAGCGGGGGAUCUUCGGACCUCACGCUAUCAGAUGAGCCUAGGUCGGAUUAGCUAGUUGGUGGGGUAAAGGCCUACCAAGGCGACGAUCCGUAACUGGUCUGAGAGGAUGAUCAGUCACACUGGAACUGAGACACGGUCCAGACUCCUACGGGAGGCAGCAGUGGGGAAUAUUGGACAAUGGGCGAAAGCCUGAUCCAGCCAUGCCGCGUGUGUGAAGAAGGUCUUCGGAUUGUAAAGCACUUUAAGUUGGGAGGAAGGGCAGUAAGUUAAUACCUUGCUGUUUUGACGUUACCAACAGAAUAAGCACCGGCUAACUUCGUG